UACGAAGGGGGCGAGCGUUGUUCGGAAUUACUGGGCGUAAAGGGCGCGUAGGCGGCCCCUUUUGUCGCGUGUGAAAGCCCCGGGCUCAACCUGGGAAUUGCGCUUGAUACUCUGGGGCUUGAGUUCGGGAGAGGAGAGUGGAAUUCCCAGUGUAGAGGUGAAAUUCGUAGAUAUUGGGAAGAACACCGGUGGCGAAGGCGGCCCUCUGGACCGAGACUGACGCUGAGGCGCGAAAGCGUGGGGAGCAAACAGG
rnacentral:rRNA from 1 species